ensembl:snRNA U6 U6 spliceosomal RNA
GUGCUCACUUAGGCAGCACAUAUAUCAAAAUUGGAAUGAAACAGAGAAUACUACCAUGGCCCUGAACAAGGAUGAGACACAGAUUCAUGAAGUAUUCCAUAUUUUU